AACGGCGAUUGAUGACACACGACGAUUCUCUGCUGUUAUUUUGGUGGUUUGCUUCACGAUGACCCUCCUGCUAUGCCGCUGUCCGAUUCAUGCUUGUUGUGGACCGCAAGAUUGUAAAUGAUGACAUCACUUCUUUCAUCUCUGCUGUUUGCCUAAUGUUUGGCAGUUAUUACUGCUUCAACAUUCACUACCCAACUGAGCUGGCGUCAGUGCUUGAAUUCCUGCAAAGGUGUUUUUUCAUCAUCAAUCCAGAGAAGGGAACAAAGGUGGUGGAAAAGAAAAACAAAAAGCGGCUCCCAGUUAACCCAAGAGUCUUCUCACUUAUCUCUGACCUUUCUGAUCAUGAAUGGCGAGAGACCUCGUAAAGGUG